rnacentral:rRNA from 1 species
UACAGAGGGUGCGAGCGUUGUUCGGAAUUAUUGGGCGUAAAGCGCUUGUAGGCGGCACGUCAAGUCGCGUGUGAAAUCCCCAGGCUUAACCUGGGAAGUGCGCGCGAAACUGACGAGCUUGAGUGCCGGAGAGGGUCGCGGAAUUCCCGGUGUAGAGGUGAAAUUCGUAGAUAUCGGGAGGAACACCAGUGGCGAAGGCGGCGACCUGGACGGACACUGACGCUGAGGUGCGAAAGCGUGGGGAGCAAACAGGG